rnacentral:rRNA from 1 species
GACGAACGCUGGCGGCGUGCUUAACACAUGCAAGUCGAACGGAAAGGCCCUGCUUUUGUGGGGUGCUCGAGUGGCGAACGGGUGAGUAACACGUGAGUAACCUGCCCUUGACUUUGGGAUAACUUCAGGAAACUGGGGCUAAUACCGGAUAGGAGCUCCUGCUGCAUGGUGGGGGUUGGAAAGUUUCGGCGGUUGGGGAUGGACUCGCGGCUUAUCAGCUUGUUGGUUGGGUAGUGGCUUACCAAGGCUUUGACGGGUAGCCGGCCUGAGAGGGUGACCGGCCACAUUGGGACUGAGAUACGGCCCAGACUCCUACGGGAGGCAGCAGCGGGGAAUAUUGCACAAUGGGCGGAAGCCUGAUGCAGCAACGCCGCGUGCGGGAUGACGGCCUUCGGGUUGUAAACCGCUUUCGCCUGUGACGAAGCGUGAGUGACGGUAAUGGGUAAAGAAGCACCGGCUAACUACGUG